ACUCCCGGAAGUUUUGGUAAGGAC
rnacentral:sRNA from 1 species